UUGGGGGACGGGGCAUUAUUGAUUGGCCCUUUCGCGUUCCAUCCAGCAAUGCCUCGGAAAAAAGCGCGCACGUGGCACAUUAAAAAGCUCCCACAGCCGUUUCUACUUGGAGUGACGUUCGUAGCAACCUGAGCCACCCGAGCCCGGCUCGAAGCCAUCAGCCCCAAUAACACACCAUGUCUCCUGCCCAAGGCGCACAUCUUCAUUAGCACGUAGCCAUG
rnacentral:lncRNA from 1 species